UACGAAGGGGGCUAGCGUUGUUCGGAAUUACUGGGCGUAAAGCGCACGUAGGCGGACUUGUAAGUUGGGGGUGAAAUCCCGGGGCUCAACCCCGGAAUUGCCUUCAAGACUGCAAGUCUGGAGGUCAGGAGAGGCGAGCGGAAUUCCGAGUGUAGAGGUGAAAUUCGUAGAUAUUCGGAGGAACACCAGUGGCGAAGGCGGCUCGCUGGACUGAUACUGACGCUGAGGUGCGAAAGCGUGGGGAGCAAACAGG
rnacentral:rRNA from 1 species